UACGAAGGGGGCUAGCGUUGCUCGGAAUCACUGGGCGUAAAGCGCACGUAGGCGGAUUUGUCAGUCAGGGGUGAAAUCCCGGAGCUCAACUUCGGAACUGCCUCUGAUACAGCACGUCUUGAGUCCGGAAGAGGUGGGUGGAAUUCCUAGUGUAGAGGUGAAAUUCGUAGAUAUUCGCAAGAACACCAGUGGCGAAGGCGGCUUACUGGUCCGGUUCUGACGCUGAGGCGCGAAAGCGUGGGGAGCAAACAGG
rnacentral:rRNA from 1 species